CCUCACUGCUCCGGGCCAGACAGCUACACCGCAGAACAAGAUGGAAAAGAAAGCCUUCCUUCAUUAGACAUGUGGCUUCUUCCCCGAGUUAUGGUUGAGACAAUUUAAACUGCCUUUGGAAACUGAUUCUCGGGUGCUCUACAGCUCAGAUUGCCAAUAGGAGUCAGAAAGAGAAGAAAGACAGGAGUGAUGGGAUCUGAUGAAAAAGAGACAAAAAGACCCUGCCUGUACUGGAAAGUUUCCAUAUAAUCUAAGGUUGGACCUCCCUCGUCUUGCACCGUCAGGACCUGACCAGCCCUGAACAAAAGAAUUUGCUGGCCCAGGGAUGGUCUUUUGCCACCAGCCCCAAGCCCCAUCGCCUGCCACUGCCAGGCUACCCCAUCAAGCACUCUGCCUCACCUACCUCUCUCCAACCUGCCUGGGCUGCUUGCCAAGCUGCUGCCGGCUCCCUGGGCUGCACAGGCUCACUCCUGCUGUGUGGUUCGAGCCCCACACAUCCAGGGACAAUGGUGAGGCUCCGGGCCUGGCUCCACACUCCAGUGGGCUGCUGCGGGACUCCAGCCUUUGUCCCCCAGAUGAGCUGCUGACUCUGUUGCCCCUGCCCAGCUGUCCUUCCUGCCCUUAGGCUCCCAAGCUCUUUGCUCCAGAAGCACCUGUGAUCCUGCCGGAUGAGGGUUAUUGCUGGACCAAAGAGUGCCCAUUUUUAGAGGUACAACCUUUACUGCCAAUGGUCAAAAUUUUCCAGUUGGGCUGCCUAAAGUUAGACAUCUAAAUAAAAUUGGGUGGCGUCUUGAGUACUGAAACAUACAAACAACUCCCAUUGAAGUUAAGAGGCCUGAAAGUCUUUUGCAUCUAGGUAAAUCAGGCCAUAUUUAUGUAAGUGUCUAAACAGGGAUUUAAAUGCCUAAUCUCUGGGUAUGUCUACACUACAAAGUUAGUUCGAACUAACUUUC